AGUGUAAAUUAAACCCAUCAAAAUUAGCAUUGUAAGAUUAUGAAAUUCACCGAAAUAACAAAGAAAAAAAGAAUGAUGUUUUCGGAAUUAAAUAUAAUGGUUCAAUUUCAGAGAGUUUAGCCAAGUACGGGAGUCAAUGCACUCAGCCAUGUCGACGAACAAGACAGAAAUUGUGAAUGUUGCUCUGGAUGAAUUUUCAGAGGGAUACCUUCUCUUUUCCCCAGAAAAUCGUUAUAAUAUGCUUCUUUCACUAGCCAAAGAGUAUGAUCUCAAUUGGACCCAAGUUCGCGAGUUAAUGAAGCAGCAUCUUGAUCUUCAGCUCCCAAAUGAUAAGGCUGAAGAUAGUGGUCAUGAAGAAGAGGAUCAUUAUCAGCUUUCUACAGGAUUGAGCGGAAUUUGAGGCAGGCUCUCAAGCCUAUGUAUGAAGUUCUUUUUUAGUGUCUCAAUACACAUCCUGGGGGAUUGAAAUUCAUGUCUGAUAUUCGAGCUAAUUUGUUCAUCUUCUCGAGUAAGGUUAUGUCCCAA
rnacentral:misc_RNA from 1 species